rnacentral:sRNA from 1 species
AUAUCAUCAAUGUAUGAGAGAGUACAUCCGGGAAUUAAAGUUUAAUUCCCGGAUGAUGGUAUGACAAUAUAUUCUAUGUACUCUCUCAUACAUUGAAUAUAUUGUCAUACCAUAAUUAAUGUUUUAACAUAGUUUAAUUCCCGGAUGUACUCUCUCAUACAUUGAUGAUAU